AGGGGUGUAGCACAGUUGGUCAGUGCGCCCGCCUCCAAAGUGGGAGGUCGCGGGUUCGAAUCCUGCCACCCCUG
rnacentral:tRNA from 1 species